GGCGGCAUGGCUCAGGUGGUAGAGCAAGUGGUCUGGGAAUCAGAGGGUUCCUGGUUCAAUUCCCGGCUCUUCCA